rnacentral:lncRNA from 1 species
UCGGCAUAUUAGGUAGAUUUUUCAUAUUUGAGCUUGAAUCGGAUCGUUUUUAAUGACUAAAUCUGUUAAAAUCUUUCACAUAAACUAAUUACUUCAAAUAAAAUAGACACUUAAGUGUUUAAAAAGUGGUCAAAAUCUUUCGUCAGAUGAACCUGAAAUUUGAGGCCAAAAUCGGUCCUUACCGGACCUACUCCUUUACUAUUCUAAUCAACCACAAAAAAUUUUUUAAAAAAUAUUUGUAUCAGCUCCUGUGGAUAAAACUACAUAGCUGACAUGGUUUAAAUUAAAGAAAGACCACCAAUUUCCCGGUAUCAAAUCAUUUGAAAAAAACAAUGUACUGCCAUAUGACCUUUAACAUUGAAGGGUUAAACUUGCAUUAAGUCGUGUUUAGACAGAAAAUAAAGGAAUAUGGAGUAAACGUGCACGGGACCUAAUCGCACACACAAAGUCAAUGCAUAGAAAAAAUACAAAUGAUCAAUGGUUAAAGUUUUUAUUCCUGUUCUUCAUCUUGAUAGUUGCUGGAGGGUCUUGGACUUCAAUAAUUAUAAAUACCGUAAAAGAAGGUCAAGAUGGUCCCUAGUGUCGACUUAAGCAGUACUAGUACUUAAAGUAUAAUACUGCACUGUCACUAUAUUUAAAUCUAGUCAUAAAAAAAUCACCAAAGUCAGCACAAGACAAGAGCAGACAGACAGACCCGGUAUUAAUGAUUAUGAGAAAUAAGAUUUUUACUUUAUCCUCAGGCUACAUAUCGGUGUUGCCCCUAAAACCUAAAAGUCUUAAAUUACAAUAAAUCUAUGUUUUUGCUUUGAGACCAGAAUAUUGUCGAAAAAAUAGCUAAAGAUUAUUUGCGUUUCAAUGUAAGAAAGAGUCCGUGGAACGCUCAGAAUGCAUGAUUUUGCGUUAUUUUUCUCAGAGCUUCUGGGGGCCUUUAGCGGCAAAUAUUUUUCGCCUCGCUACGCUCCGCGAAUAUGUUUUGCCUCACUAUUAAUAGAGGCUAGUUACGCCCC